GGGGACAAAAGAGGGCACAGGAGGGGAGGGGGCUAAAGAGUGCAGAGGAAAGGAGGUGGUUAAAGAGGGCACAGGAGAGGGCUAAAGAGGGCACAGGAGGGAAUAGGGACUACAUAAGGGCACAGGAGGGGAGAAUGGCUACAUAAGGGGAAAGGAGGGAAGAGGGGCUACAGAGGACACAGGAGGGGAGGGGGCUAAAGAGGGCACAGAAGGUGGGCUACAUAAGCGGACAGGAGGGGAGAGGCUAAAGAGGGCACAGAAGGGGGG